rnacentral:rRNA from 1 species
UGGGGAAUAUUGCACAACGGGCGAAAGCCUGAUGCAGCAACGCCGCGUGAGUGAUGAAGGCCUUCGGGUUGUAAAGCUCUGUCUUUUGGGACGAUAAUGACGGUACCAAAGGAGGAAGCCACGGCUAACUACGUGCCAGCAGCCGCGGUAAUACGUAGGUGGCAAGCGUUGUCCGGAUUUACUGGGCGUAAAGGAUGCGUAGGCGGAUUUUUAAGUGAGAUGUGAAAAACCCUAAGCUUAACUUGGGGACUGCAUUUCAUACUGGAAAUCUAGAGUGCGGGAGAGGAGAAUGGAAUUCCUAGUGUAGCGGUGAAAUGCGUAGAGAUUAGGAAGAACACCAGUGGCGAAGGCGAUUCUCUGGACCGUAACUGACGCUGAGGCAUGAAAAGCGUGGGUAGCAAAACAGGAUUAGAUACCCUGAUAGUCCACGCCGUAAAACGAUGAGUACUAGGUGUAGGAGGUAUCGACCCCUUCUGUGCCGCAGUUAAACACAAUAAGUACUCCGCCUGGGAAGUACGAUCGCAAGAUUAAAAACUCAAAGGAAUUGACGGGGUCAAUAGCUGUUUCCU